rnacentral:rRNA from 1 species
GACAGAGGUGCCGAGCGUUAGGCGGAAUCACUGGGCUUAAAGCGUGUGUAGGUGGAUGCCUAAGUACCUUGUGAAAUCCCACGGCUUAACCGUGGAACUGCUUGGUAUACUGGGUGUCUUGAGCCAGCUAGGGGCUACCGGAACAAAUGGUGGAGCGGUGAAAUGCGUAGAUAUCAUUUGGAACGCCAAUGGUGAAAACAGGUAGCUGGGGCUGUACUGACACUGAGACACGAAAGCCAGGGGAGCGAACGGG